AUUGAACGCUGGCGGAAUGCUUUACACAUGCAAGUCGAACGGCAGCACGGGGCAACCUGGUGGCGAGUGGCGAACGGGUGAGUAAUACAUCGGAACGUGCCCAAUCGUGGGGGAUAACGUAGCGAAAGUUACGCUAAUACCGCAUACGAUCUACGGAUGAAAGCGGGGGAUCGCAAGACCUCGCGCGAAUGGAGCGGCCGAUGUCAGAUUAGGUAGUUGGUGGGGUAAAGGCUCACCAAGCCAACGAUCUGUAGCUGGUCUGAGAGGACGACCAGCCACACUGGAACUGAGACACGGUCCAGACUCCUACGGGAGGCAGCAGUGGGGAAUUUUGGACAAUGGGCGCAAGCCUGAUCCAGCCAUUCCGCGUGCAGGAUGAAGGCCUUCGGUUGUAAACUGCUUUGUACGGAACGAAACGGACGAGCUCUAAUACAGUUUGCUAAUGACGGUCCGUAAGAAUAAGACACCGGACUAACUACGUGCCAGCAGCCGCGGUAAU
rnacentral:rRNA from 1 species